GGACUACCGGGGUAUCUAAUCCCGUUUGCUCCCCUGGCUUUCGCGCCUCAGCGUCAGUGGGGACCCAGCGGACCGCUUUCGCCACCGGCGUUCCUUCCGAUAUCAACGCAUUUCACCGCUCCACCGGAAGUUCCGUCCGCCCCUAUCCCCCUCGAGCCCGGCAGUAUCGGGGGCACGCUUCCGGUUGAGCCGAAAGAUUUCACCCCCGACUGGCCAGGCCGCCUACGCGCCCUUUAAGCCCAGUGAUUCCGAACAACGUUCGCACGGUUCGUCUUACCGCGGCGGCUGGCAC
rnacentral:rRNA from 3 species